UACGGCUCUCCAAACUUUCAGUCGUGCAUAGCUUUAAUAAGGAGGAAAUUGCAGGCCCCGGCUCGGGCUGCGGCAGCGUUGGAGACCUGUCGCAAAGCGGCGCAUCCCCCGCGGAUGGCCGUGAGGACGCUUUUGCGGAGGCAGAGCGUUUGGAGUCAGAGAACAUGGCA
rnacentral:ncRNA from 1 species